rnacentral:rRNA from 1 species
CACGUAGGAGACUAGCGUUAUCCGGAUUUACUGGGCGUAAAGCGCGUGCAGGUGGCUCGGAAAGUUCGAUGUGAAAGCUCCCGGCUUAACUGGGAGAGGUCGUUGAAUACUUUCGGGCUAGAGGAUGGGAGAGGGAGGCGGAAUUCCGGGUGUAGUGGUGAAAUGCGUAGAUAUCCGGAGGAACACCAGUGGCGAAAGCGGCCUCCUGGCCCAUUUCUGACACUCAGACACGAAAGCUAGGGUAGCAAACGGGAUUAGAGACCCCGGUAGUCCUAGCUGUAAACGAUGUAGACUUGGCGUUGGCGGGUUCAAAUCCGUCAGUGCCGAAGCUAACGCGAUAAGUCUACCGCCUGGGGACUACGGCCGCAAGGUUAAA